AAUUGCAUGUCGAUGCUCGUGGCGAUUACUGGCCCGUUUACGCCAGCGAUUUUCAUGAUACCGCGAGUGAUGCAGCUUGGUUAUUCCACCGCGGUGUGUUUUACGUGUAAAAGAUGCAUCGAGGUCGGGGUGAGACUCUUACGAAGAUCCGAGUCGAAGAGAUUUGUACGGAAACGGUAGCAUUUGGACUGAGUUUGCGAGACGCGACGCUGUGAAUUCUUCUUUUAGCCGGCGAAGCUUUUUGAGCUUCUUUUGGCGAGAAUAGCUAGGCAAUCGGAAGA
rnacentral:misc_RNA from 1 species